UGGCAGUACCAGCAGUGCCCCAGUCCCCAUAGUCUCCUGUUUCAGUCGUUAAAAGGCGAUUUUGACUCUCCCUUUGUAGAAAUCAUACAGCUUCUGUAUCUGAUCAGAAGGUCAACAACACAAUCAUCUGAUGUUAGGCUAGAGGUAAGAACAGCCGGCUCUGGGGUUCCCGGAGGAAGGAAUUGCCAAUCUCGCCUGAAAGAACUGGUGUGAAGCCACUGGCGGAGUAUCCAGGGGCCGAGGGCUGAUGCAUUUCUCCUCAUCCACCUCACUCUGACCCCGGAUGCCAGUUAACCCAGGAGAGGUCCCUGAACACAACCCCGAUGCAAGCAAAGGUGGUGGACAAUACGGAGGAGGAUGAAGAGGCAUGGUCCACCACAACAGGUUGCCCAGAGAGGCUGUAGAGAGUUUAAAAGGAAGGAGUGAGAGGGAUCACCAGACCAUGAAGCAUGGAAAUUAAGGCUCAAGAAGGUGACUUGCCCAAGACUUCAUAGCCCACAACUGCUGGAGGUGGGAUUUGAACUCGUCUGCGAGGUUCGAAAUCACCCCAGCCCAGUGCCUGCUCCUGACAGAGACUCAGCAAGUGCAGCUCUGCGUGUUUCCUCCAUCACAGAGGCCUGCUUAGGGGAAAAAUCUUGCUGAAGAAAAGUGGCCGAUGGUUUCGAGAGAAGAGACGCUUAUUCAUGUAAUUCUCAAGAAUCCCAUCUCCGGCUUAGAAGGACACCUUUUCUGAUUUCCCAUUCAAAGGGACUGACGUACACUCAGGGGCUGAGGCAGCAGCUGUUUUUGCUGUGCACAGACUGGAGAGCGAUGUGUGAGUGAAGUCUGUGGCCACUUCUCUCCUCCCCCGAGCCUUCUGGGGUUUGGGUUUAUGACUCCAGAGGCGGAGAAGCGUGUUCCCUUUCUGUGCGGAUCCCGUCAUUGACAGAGUCUGUUUUAGAAGAGCAUUUUUAGAUGGCAGCGAACGUUCCAGACCCCAAAGCAUUCUCUUUACAGCACCGUCUAGCUUGGGUGGGGAUAGGGUGGGUUUGUGAACACGUGUGUGCGUGAGAGUGUGAGUGUGUGCAAGUGUGUGCACGUGUGUGUCAGUCCCUCUGUCUGGCUCCCACUGCUAGCCACCUCUGUCAUAUCCUGACUAUUUCGCCGGGGCAUCGUCCAGCCAUAGGAAUCUUCAGCAAACCUACAGUUCAGACGAACGCCCUCGUUUCUGCCCUGAGAAGAAAGUCCGUUGAGUCUGAGGGCUCCCGAGUCAUUCUCUCAAGGCAUUCAUUCAGUUUUGUUUCCCCUGGUGCUACCCUCUCUGAAGUCGUUAUUACUCAUUAGGUGUAUUGCACAUACAGAAAAAGUAGGUCAAGGAUUAAAAAAAAAAAGAAAAAACAUCUCUGGGAGAAGCACAAGUAUUGUGUAAAGCUAUUUUGAACUUGCGUGAGAUUUUUCAAGGGGGAAAUGUUUUGUGCAGAGACGGCUGCUGCCACAGCUGACUUACCAAUGAAUGCCCGUGUCUGAGCCUUUCAUACGCUAACCACGUGACCUUGGAAUUCCAUUUUGAAAUGAUAAUUGUGCCCAGUGGGGUGAGCAGCCUCUCAAUCCAGGUUCUAUACAAUAUAGGUCACCUCGAGGAUCCUCAGUAGAACAGGAACAAGAGAAUCCUGAGAAAUCUCUGUAAAGAAACAGAAAGAAUGAGAGAGAAAACUGUGUGUCUAACCACCGGGCCCCUGGGCCCUAUGUGCCACCCAGGUUUGGAGCAAGGCUGCGGGGCAGAUGAUGUCCAGGAGAGCCUCAGAAAGUCCGGGCUCUAGAAAAAAAUACGUUCCAGCUCACUCUGCUCUGACCCUGCAUCUGCUCUGUGCUGAAAGCUUUGUUGCUGCCAUGAAUAUAUUUAAGGGGAAUAAAAUGUGCAGUGUCAAAGCGACUGGCUUGAAGUGGGCUGGAUGCAUCCUAGGCUCCGCGAGGGAAAAGGCCUCUAGCUGGCAGUUGACAGAAGGGGGAAGGCAGUGAGGAGUGGGCCCACCCACGGGAGUCUGGGCAUGAGGCGGGUCCUGGUUCCCAGGCUGCCCCGUGGGAAUAUGCUCCAUGGGCUGGGGCUGCUGUGCUGGCUGCUCUUGCCCCCAGGGGGUCACUACGCUGGGCUUCUCCAUCAGGGCUAUCACGAUAUUGCCCAGGGUUUACAGGUUUACAGGCAUUAUCUCACUCAGUGUUGUUUUGCUCCCUUUCACAAAGAAAGGAAGGAAAAGAGAGGCAGGGGGUGAGAGAGGAAGCCAGACUAGCAUUCAGCUCUGCUAGUUGUUCCUCGCCUGGGUUAGGCUUCCCUGGAAAGUAGCCUGCAUUGUCUUGCACCUCCUUCAUCUGACAGCCAGGUGCUCCUACUGGAGCAUAACUGUAGUAGGCCAUUUCUGUGCCAGUUGACUGAGAAGGCAGUGUCCCUGCUUUUCUGGAAACUUCCACACAACACAAUUCCCGAUGGAAAGCAUUUAACAAUUAUGGGUGGGGCUCUGAUCAAAAAGUAAGCUUUAGAAAAGGUUAACAGCUAAGCUGGGCAUGGUGGCUCACACCUGUAAUCCCAGCACUUUAGGAGGCCGAGGCGUGCAGAUCACCUGAGGUCAGGAGUUCGAGACCAACCUGGCCAUCGUGGCAAAACUCUGUCUCUACUAAAAAUACAAACAACAACAACAACAAAAGAAAAAAAAAUUAGCCGAUCAUGGUGGCAGGCACAAGCCUGUAAUCCCAGCUACUUAGAAGGCUGAGGCAGGAGAAUCGUUUGAACCUGGGAGGUGGAGGUUGCAGUGAGCCGAGAUUGUACUACAGCACUCCAGCCUGGGCAAAAGAGUGAGACGCUCUCUCAAAUUAAAAAACAACAAAAAAAGGUAACAGCAAGUGGUUACAACCCAUGAAUCUUUAAUCAUUUUAAAUAGUAAAAGUGUUUGGAAACUCUUAUAAUAUUAGAGCUAAAACACACCUUAGGGAUGAUUUAAGGCACUUUUUCAAACGAUAAACAAGAUCCAGAUAAUUACGUCAAAUAUUUAUAGUAACCCAUCUUAUUGGUGCCAGUUUGAGAAUAGAACCCACAUUUGCAAAUAAUCUCAACACCUUCUGUUUCACCUCACUUUUCAAAGGUCCUUGAGAAGGGUAUUUGCACACUGCCUGCAAGGUAGCUGCAAUGGCUAUAAAGCUAUUGCGUAGAUAGAAUUCCAAUUGCGUAGAUAGAAUUCUACUCUAUCUGUGUUAACCUAGCUAAAAUUAAUGUGCUGUGAUAAAACUCACCAACUAAACAUG
rnacentral:lncRNA from 1 species